AUUGAACGCUGGCGGCAUGCCUUACACAUGCAAGUCGAACGGCAGCACGGGUGCUUGCACCUGGUGGCGAGUGGCGAACGGGUGAGUAAUACUUCGGAACGUACCUUAUCGUGGGGGAUAACGCAGCGAAAGCUGUGCUAAUACCGCAUAAGCCCUGAGGGGGAAAGCGGGGGAUCGAAAGACCUCGCGCGAUUAGAGCGGCCGAUGCCUGAUUAGCUUGUUGGGGGGGUAAAAGCCCACCAAGGCGACGAUCAGUAGCUGGUCUGAGAGGACGCUCAGCCACACAGGGACUGAGACACGGCCCAGAUUCCUACGUGUGGCAGCAGUGGGGAAUUUUGGACAAUGGGGGCAACCCUGAUCCAGCAACGCCGCGUGAGUGAAGAAGGCCUUCGGGUUGUAAAGCUCUUUUGUCAGGGAAGAAACACCGGCUCUAACACAGUCCGGGAAUGACGGUACCGGAAGAAUAAGCACCGGCUAACUACGUGCCAGCCGCCGCCGUAA
rnacentral:rRNA from 1 species